rnacentral:rRNA from 1 species
GACGAACGCUGGCGGCGUGCCUAAUACAUGCAAGUCGAACGCAGUGGGGACGGGUGAGUAACACGUGGGUAACCUCCCAUCAGAGGGGAUAACACUUGGAAACAGGUGCUAAACCGCUACUGAUGGAUGGACCCGCGGUGCGUUAGCUAGUUGGUGGGGGAACGGCCCACCAAGGCCACGAGGCAUAGCCGGCCGGGGAGGGUGAUCGGGCACACUGGGACUGGGACACGGCCCAGACUCCUACGGGAGGCAGCAGUAGGGAAUCUUCGGCAAUGGACGAAAGUCUGACCAAGCAACGCCGCGUGAGUGAAGAAGGUUUUCGGAUCGUAAAGCUCUGUUGUUAAGGAAGCGGUACUUAACCAGAAAGGGACGGCUAACUACGUGCCAGCAGCCGCGGUAAUAC